ensembl:lncRNA
CCCGCCCCUCCCCGGCCUCUUGAAACAAAGUUAUCAAAUUUUGCCGUUUGAGUUGGCCGGAAGUGGAGAGGAGCAAAGAUGGAGAAACGGCCCAAACGAAAGGGGGGCGCUGAAAAAUUGCGCGAAAAAAGGCUUAAAAGCCUGCAAGUCGAUGCAGCAAAAUGCAGCAAAAUAAGUGACAUGUUUGCCGUUGCUUCCACUAGUUCACCUGCGGCAGCGACUGCUGCUGCCAUGAUAGAAAAAGAAGCCGAAGUUCAGGGGGAGUCUGAGGAAAAGGAGUAGGAGGAGAAGGAGGAGGAGGACGGAGGGAGAGACGUGACACAGCAGGGACAGAUCGAGGAGGUUUCCCAGAGACUAUGGGUUGAGGAGGAAUUGGAAGUUUGUCGGCUUAGACCUGGUGUCAUUCCAUCAGUGUUAAACUUCCCAGCUCAUCUUGGAAGAGCACGUGCCAGAAAGACCACGACCAAGCAGCCUUGAGAUCUUAGACAGCGUCUCCCUCAGGUGGGUGUCAACGGUGUUCACAGUCAGGUCUGUGGUAAUCAUGUCAAAAAAACAAAACAGAAAAAAAUCUAGAUUAUAAAUCAACAUGUAACCAAAGCACUCUGUGUAUAACGCCAUAGUAUAGGAUGUAGUUCAGAAAAUGUCAAAGUAUAGUAUGCUUUACUCAAGAAUA